AAAUUCCUGAAGUUCUCAUUGCCCAAAUCUCAAAAUUGUUGUUUUUAAACACCAUGUACGCAACGGACACAAUCUGUGAAAUCAACAAGAAUGGAGAAACACAGGGUUCACACAAUAAGCAACCUACUAACGAGACGAAGGACUGAAGAUCACGUUCGGUGGUCCGAUUUUGUUCCCUUUUUUUUUGCACGAAACGGACCCGAUUCCGUUGGACCGAACGUUUCCACAGGAAGAAAAGAAUCGAAACCGAGGGAUGAGAAACGAGGAAAAUCGUGGCGGGGACGGCGACGAUUUCGUUCGUCGAUAAAAUAAAUAGAAACGUAGCGACACGUACGGCGCCGUAUACGUGCCGCCCAAUAAGAGCUCUCUUCGAACAUGCGAAUGUUUCCUAUCCUUUUUUUAACUGAGAUUUUUCUUGACACUUGUGUUUCUAUUAAAUUCACAUACUCGCAUAAUGUUGUUGAUAAGAAUACUUUCAGAAUGUAUUUGAAUGAAUUUGUACUAUUAUAUGCUGA